rnacentral:rRNA from 1 species
UACGUAGGGGGCUAGCGUUGUCCGGAUUUAUUGGGCGUAAAGAGCGUGUAGGCGGCCAGGUAGGUCUGCUGUGAAAACUCGAGGCUCAACCUCGAGACGUCGGCGGAAACCAUCUGGCUAGAGUCCGGAAGAGGAGAGUGGAAUUCCUGGUGUAGCGGUGAAAUGCGCAGAUAUCAAGUGGAACACCAGUGGCGAAGGCGAGUCCCUGGACAACUCCUGACACUGAGGCACGAAAGCUAGGGGAGCAAACGGG